CUGGCAAUCCAAAUAAUAUUGAUGGAGAUGACAACUGUGGUUUUCUAAAUAAUAGCCUGUUAGAGGAUAAACCAUGCAGCAGCCAAUUCUACUUCUUCUGUCACAUCCCAUAUACAGUGAGACAGCAAGUAUUAAAACUGAAGAUUCAAGGAGACAAUAGUGUGUUUGGUCCUUCUUCUCAGGCAGCCAUUUUACAACAGGUCAAGCAGAAACUGAAGGACCACGGCGUAGAGAGAGAGACAAAUGUGACCUGGAGGGUGUGGCCAGAAUGGAACAAUCGUUCACAAGAAGAAUGAUCUCUAAACAAUCUUCUUACAUACUUCUCAGCAUCUAAC